AGGCGUGGCCGCCGGAUGACGGGUAUUGUUGAUGUCAAUAUUAGAGGAUAUUAUUUUCCUGUCACGUUUU
rnacentral:tRNA from 1 species